GCCUAGUUAGCUUAGUUGGUAGUGCGUCUGCCUCGUAAGCGCUAGGCCGCGGGUUCGAUUCCCGCCCGCGGCG
rfam:Asian citrus Psyllid, Diaphorina citri - Florida Strain, whole genome shotgun sequence.